GAUGAACGCUGGCGGCGUGCCUAAUACAUGCAAGUCGAGCGAACGGACGAGAAGCUUGCUUCUCUGAUGUUAGCGGCGGACGUGUGAGUAACACGUGGAUAACCUACCUAUAAGACUGGGAUAACUUCGGGAAACCGGAGCUAAUACCGGAUAAUAUUUUGAACCGCAUGGUUCAAAAGUAAAAGACGGUCUUGCUGUCACUUAUAGAUGGAUCCGCGCUGCAUUAGCUAGUUGGUAAGGUAACGGCUUACCAAGGCAACGAUGCAUAGCCGACCUGAGAGGGUGAUCGGCCACACUGGAACUGAGACACGGUCCAGACUCCUACGGGAGGCAGCAGUAGGGAAUCUUCCGCAAUGGGCGAAAGCCUGACGGAGCAACGCCGCGUGAGUGAUGAAGGUCUUCGGAUCGUAAAACUCUGUUAUUAGGGAAGAACAUAUGUGUAAGUAACUGUGCACAUCUUGACGGUACCUAAUCAGAAAGCCACGGCUAACUACGUG
rnacentral:rRNA from 1 species